UGGAUGUUAUUCUUCUUUUUACCUCUCAGAUCCAGAAAGACUCCAGCCCUUCAGAUCAAAUAGCUGAAACAAUGGAUGAUCUGGACUCUUGAUGACCUCACCCCAUCCAGGUGCCCAUCCACAUAGAUGAAAAUGUCCAGAGCCAAAGAGCCUUGCUCUUCCCAUCACGGCAAAGUGUCCCUGUUUUGGAAGAGAGGAGAGAACAUGCAAACUUCACAUCAGGCUUAAGCAGGCUUUCUGCGGAUUGAAUCCUCCAGAAGUCAAUAGAGAAGCAGUUCGCAGUCUGGAGCGAUUUCAAGGAGUCUUCAAAUCUUCAAAGAUUUCCUUCUUUCCCAAGGAAGAGGAGCAAAGAAGCAGUGCCUCCCCUGGAGAGUGUUAAAGGAGAGCAACGCAGAGCUACAGAUAUUGAACUAAAUUCAGGUAAGAACUGCUGACACCACCACUCAAAGCAGUGGAUACAAUUAAGAACAAUGAUAAUUGUGGCUGC
rnacentral:lncRNA from 1 species